rnacentral:rRNA from 1 species
GCCAGACUCCUACGGGAGGCAGCAGUGAGGAAUAUUGGUCAAUGGGCGAGAUCCUGAACCAGCCAAGCCGCGUGAGGGAAGACGGCCCUAUGGGUUGUAAACCUCUUUUGUCGGAGAACAAAACCCGGGACGAGUCCCGGACUGCGUGUAUCCGAAGAAAAAGCAUCGGCUAACUCCGUGCCAGCAGCCGCGGUAAUACGGAGGAUGCGAGCGUUAUCCGGAUUUAUUGGGUUUAAAGGGUGCGUAGGCGGUCCGUUAAGUCAGCGGUAAAAUUGAGAGGCUCAACCUCUUCGGGCCGUUGAAACUGGUUUUCUUGAGUGAGCGAGAAGUAUGCGGAAUGCGUGGUGUAGCGGUGAAAUGCAUAGAUAUCACGCAGAACUCCGAUUGCGAAGGCAGCAUACCGGCGCCCAACUGACGCUGAAGCACGAAAGCGUGGGUAUCGAACAGGAUUAGAUACCCCAGUAC